rnacentral:rRNA from 1 species
AACGAACGCUGGCGGCAUGCCUAACACAUGCCAGUCGAGCGAGACCCUCGGGUCUAGUGGCGCACGGGUGCGUAACGCGUGGGAACCUGCCCUUAGGUUCGGAAUAACUCCCCGAAAGGGGUGCUAAUACCGGAUAAUGUCUUCGGACCAAAGAUUUAUCGCCUUUGGAUUGGCCCGCGUUGGAUUAGCUAGUUGGUAGGGUAAAAGCCUACCAAGGCGACGAUCGAUAGCUGGUCUGAGAGGAUGAUCAGCCACACUGGGACUGAGACACGGCCCAGACUGGGAGGGGACGCAGCAGGGGGGAAUAGGGCAGAGUGGGCGGAAGCCUGAUGCAACAACGCCGUGUGCGGGAUGACGGCCUUCGGGUUGUAAACCGCGUUCGCCUGUGACGAAGGGUGAGUGACGGUAAUGGGUAAAGAAGAACCGGCUAACUACGUG